AUGGCUUUUUGAAAUUGUGCCAUGUCAUUAUGUCCACUUUUUUUUUCUAGGUGAUGAUGUGGUACAAUCUUAAGAGUACCAC
rnacentral:pre_miRNA from 1 species